rnacentral:rRNA from 1 species
UACAGAGGGGGCAAGCGUUGUUCGGAAUUACUGGGCGUAAAGGGCGCGUAGGCGGCCUGUUAAGUCGAACGUGAAAUCCCCGGGCUCAACCCGGGAACUGCGUCCGAUACUGGCAGGCUUGAAUCCGGGAGAGGGAUGUGGAAUUCCAGGUGUAGCGGUGAAAUGCGUAGAUAUCGGGAAGAACACCCGUGGCGAAGGCGGUUCUCUGGGACGGUACUGACGCUGAGACGCGAAAGCGUGGGGAGCGAACAGG